rnacentral:lncRNA from 1 species
UCUAGCCAAUUAUGGCGAUGACCUACAUUCUCCUCUCACUGACAGAGCAGCACACUCACCUCGAAAGCUGGUGACUGUGUAGAAAGGCUGCAGUCAGAGCAUACAGCACCCAGCCGUGAGCUCUAAAGAAUUCCUGAAUGACCAGGCCAGUCUACAGACACGGUGUAAGGUAAAAAACCUAUUCUGUUCAUUGUAAUAAUAAAAAAAAAUAUUCUCAGCGUGAGACAAAGCCUUCCCUCCAUAGAUGACAAAUAACAAAAUGAGCAAGUGGCUUUAUUUGGAAAUGCAAUGUUUGAGUCUGUGUGUCAUCUUGGGCUCGUUAAUUAUGCUUCUAAUUAGUGUCACCAGUGACUCAUCGGUUCCAUGAGUUCUAAAUAUACAACAAUUCCAGUUUUCCUUAAGUAAUUGGUUAUGAGGGUAGGUGAACAGUAUUGUCAUUUUAGGAAUCAUUUGGGCAUAUCAGCACCUGCAUUUUCUUGGGCAAUCCAGGGGAAUAGUAGUUAUGAAGCUUUCAAUUUGUUCUUGAAGCCACUGUCCCAAUUUGGUAUUGAAAGUCGUCCCAGAGUAAAUGCUAACAGUUACCACACAGCUGCUUGUGCAAACUAUAGACGAUAGAGUCUGGAGUUCGGCAGACCAGCCAAAACGCCACGGUUGCCUCCUGAUGACCUACAUCUGCUCUCUGCCUGGAGCCAAUAAUGUGAGUGAGUCAGAGAUAAACAUGCCUCUUCGGUCAACAGCAGCCCCUUUCCCUUCAUUUUAGGGAUGGCUGGGACGUUAGCGCUAAGACAGUGUAAUAAAUAUGUAUUUUUUUCUUUCGUUGCCUAAAGGCAAGCAGUAUUUUCAUCACGAAGCAUCUAGAGAGAAAAGAUUUCACAACUUCCUAGAGCACAUUCAAGCUCCCACUGUGUCCUCUGGCGCCAUCGAUAAAUCCCUCUUAUUCGUCUGACUUCAGCCUGCGCACCACAGAGGUGGGUAUAACUCUCCCUCCCUGCCCUUCGUGUUGUAACUGACUGUGAAGUCACAGCUGGCAUGGGGUUUCCAAAAGCAUCACAGCCCAGCAAAAUGGCUGGGAGAGUAGACCCUUGCUGCCAAGCUAGAUGACCUGAGUUUGUUCUCUGGGAACCAUGUGAUGAAAGAAAAUAUAAAACUGACUACUAAGGGUUGUUCUCUGACCACCACAUGCAUACUGUGGUACACAUGUGUGCACACAUUCGCAGAGUAAGUAAAUAAUUGUAACUAAAAU